UAGAACCAAGGAAAACAAGGGAGCAACGGGUAGCUAUAUACAAAAGGGAGUUUUCUCAAAAUUGUGUCAAGGUUGCCAGAUUGAGUGAGCGUGGUACUGUAAUCUACCGUUACAUACCAACGCGGUCUUUUUGGAUGAGA